AUACGGGGGGUGCAAGCGUUAAUCGGAAUUACUGGGCGUAAAGCGCGCGUAGGCGGUUUGCUCAGUCGGAUGUGAAAGCCCAUGGCUCAACCUUGGAACUGCAUACGAUACUGGCAAACUAGAGUGUGAGAGAGGAUAGUGGAAUUUCCGGUGUAGCGGUGAAAUGCGUAGAUAUCAGAAGGAACAUCAGUGGCGAAGGCGACUCUCUGGCUCAACACUGACGCUGAGGUGCGAAAGCGUGGGUAGCAAACAGGAUUAGAAACCCCAGUAGUCC
rnacentral:rRNA from 1 species